rnacentral:rRNA from 1 species
AUUGAACGCUGGCGGCAGGCCUAACACAUGCAAGUCGAGCGGAGCGGCGGACGGGUGAGUAAUGACUAGGAAUCUGCCUGGUAGUGGUGGAUAACGUCAGGAAACGGGAGCUGAUACCGCAUCCUAUCAGAUGAGCCUAGGUCGGAUUGGCUAGUUGGUGGGGUAAAGGCCUACCAAGGCGACGAUCCGUAACUGGUCUGAGAGGAUGAGCAGUCACACUGGAACAGAGAGACGGUCCAGACGCCUACGGGAGGCAGCAGUGGGGAAUAGUGGACAAUGGGCGAAAGCCUGAUCCAGCCAUGCCGCGUGUGUGAAGAAGGUCUUCGGAGUGUAAAGUACUUUAAGUCGGGAGGCGUUACCAACAGAAUAAGCACCGGCUAACUUCGUGCCAGCAGCCGCGGUAAUUC